rnacentral:misc_RNA from 1 species
GGAAGGAUCAUUAUUGAAUUUAAUUAGCGUAUACUUUUUUAACAAAGUUGCGUGACCUUUUUUCUUUACAAACUCUUGUGCAUUUUUUUUGGUGAUUAGUAGAAAAAUCUUUACGGAUUUUAGAUACUAUUUCACGGCUCAUUUUUUUUUUAUUUUAUAAAAACACUAAUAGUCAGAGUAUGUUUAAAAAUUUUAUAAUUAUAAAAAAACUUUCAACAACGGAUCUCUUGGCUCUCGCAUCGAUGAAGAACGCAGCGAAAUGUGAUAAGUAAUGUGAAUUGCAGAAUUCAGUGAAUCAUCGAAUCUUUGAACGCAUCUUGCGCUCGCUGGUAUUCCGGCGAGCAUGUCUGUUUGAGUGUCGUGAAAUCUUCAACCCUUUAAUUUUUUUAUAAUGAGAAUUUUAAUGUGGUUUGGUUUUUGAAUAUUGCUGGAAUCUUUUGAGAUUCGUUAGCUUAUUCGUAAUUUAUUAGCAUUUCAAAUUUUGAGAUCAGAUUGACUCGGCGUAAUAGAUUAUUCGCUGAGGGAUAUGUUUUUUUUUUGUUGUGAAAAACAUAGCUGAACUUUUGAGUUAAAAAGAAAGCUUCUAAUCCUUUUUAUUUUUUAUUUUUUAAAAAAAAAAUCUUUUUAAUUAGACCUCAGAUCAGGCAGGAUUACCCGCUGAACUUAAGCAUAUCAAUAAGCGGAGGAAAAGAAACUAACAAGGAUUCCCCUAGUAACGGCGAGUGAAGCGGGAAAAGCUCAAAUUUGUAAUCUGAUACUUUCAGUAUCCGAGUUGUAAUCUCGAGAAGUAUUUUCCGCGUUGGACCGCACACAAGUCUGUUGGAAUACAGCGUCAUAGUGGUGAGAACCCCGUAUCUGGUGCGGAUGCCCAAUGCUUUGUGAUAUACUUUCGAAGAGUCGAGUUGUUUGGGAAUGCAGCUCAAAUUGGGUGGUAAAUUCCAUCUAAAGCUAAAUAUUGGCGAGAGACCGAUAGCGAACAAGUACCGUGAGGGAAAGAUGAAAAGCACUUUGGAAAGAGAGUUAACAGUACGUGAAAUUGUUGGAAGGGAAACGCUUGAAGUCAGACUUGCAUUUUGGAGUUCAACCUUUUAGGUGUAUUCUUCAAUUUCGCAGGCCAGCAUCAGUUUUUGAGAGUGGAAAAUCGUAAUUAGAAGGUAGCAGUUUCGGCUGUGUUAUAGCUUUUUACUGGAUUCACUUUUAGGGACUGAGGAACGCAGUACGCUUUUUAGCAAGGUUUUCGAACCUUUCGUACUUAGGAUGCUGGUGGAAUGGCUUUAAACGACCCGUCUUGAAACACGGACCAAGGAGUCUAACAUGUUUGCGAGUGUUUGGGUGUUAAACCCGGACGCGUAAUGAAAGUGAAUGUAGGUGGGAUCCGCAAGGUGCACCAUCGACCGAUCUGGAUUUUUUUAAGAUGGAUUUGAGUAAGAGCAAUUAUGUUGGGACCCGAAAGAUGGUGAACUAUGCCUGAAUAGGGUGAAGCCAGAGGAAACUCUGGUGGAGGCUCGUAGCGGUUCUGACGUGCAAAUCGAUCGUCAAAUUUGGGUAUAGGGGCGAAAGACUAAUCGAACCAUCUAGUAGCUGGUUCCUGC